UCAGACAUCAUCAUAAGGUGACGUGAGGAAUAGCAGCUGGAAUGGGACAAAAUACAUAAAACAACAAACAAUACUCAAGUUUUACACAUUUUUUAACAUAUGAGGAGCUGAAUGUACUCUGUCUGUGUAGUUAGCCUAAACACCACUGCAACAUGGAACGCGACAAAAGGUCUGUUCAUGACCGGAAGACUGUUCCAGUGUCCCUGUUAGAGAUCUCAGCAAAGAGAUUGUGGAAGGAUCCAAAGGUUUACUAAAUCACAGCCGGAGUACCCAGAGAGAACCAGCGCGUGCACAGAGAGAACAUGCAAACUCCACACAGAAAGGCCCGGACCGGGAAGCGAACCAGGAACCUUCUUGCUGUGAGGCAACAGCGCUGAUCCCUGCACUGCCGUGCA